UAUUGGAGAGCACACGCCAUGUUUGAACAGACAUAGUGUGUUUUCUUCUUGUCAUAGGGGUACAUCAUGUCUAUAGAGCAGAAGGUGUCUUAUGCUUGUCACAUGGGUGAUUAGUUUAUCCUCUCUCGCUGGAGGGCUUACGCCAUGUAUACAAGGCAGCAGGUGUCUUCUGCUUGUCACAGGGUUAAUUAGUUUAUCCUCUCUCACUAGAGAGCUUACGUCAUGUCUGCAAGGCAGCGGGCAUCUUUUGCUUGUCAAAACUUAUACUGUAGACUGCCUGCCAGAAGCGCUACUUUUUAAGUAAGUAGGCAAGUUCGCGUAGUCAUAGCAGGCGUAAGUCUCGGCUUACAAAUUACCUUGGGUUGUCAAUCAUUGGGUUGUUGGUCGGAGGUCUUCCUUGCAAAAGCAGACGACCCACGUAACCACUUCAGGCGUCAUCCCUGGCUCUUAAAGGCAUUUUAGGCGUGAUGUGUAGGCGAAAUGUCGCCUUAAAGGCCAUAACCUACCGAGUCGCAACUUUGAUUUCCUAGGUUGCUUAACUAGUAUUGCAACACUUUAAAACUAAGUCACUUCAUGAAGAUUUACACAUCAAGGACAAACCAUCUUGUCACCAAAUUCUUUCAUGGGCAAGGGUCUUGCACUUAGCCUCUCUUCCGAUUAAAGACCCAAGAUCCCGCGGAAUUGAAUCCUUCAGUUGGCUAAGUUUAUUCCAGGGGAAAGACUAUCGUGGCCAAUUCUAGGAGUCGUCUGACUCAGGUAGUCGCUAUAUUCAGGGGAAACUGAACAGUCGUACCACCCAUCCACAUCUGGAUAUUCCGGAUUAGUUUACCCUCUCGUAUUAGAGAACACAUGCUAUGUCUGAACCGGUAUAGGGCGUUUUGUUCUUGUCAUAGGGGUACACCAUGUUCUGAACCGGUAUAGGGCGUUUUGUUCUUGUCAUAGGGGUACACCAUGUUUGUAGGGUAGAGGGUGUCUUCUGCUUGUCACAUAGGUGAUUAGUUUAUCCUCUCUCGCUAGAGAGCUUACGCCAUGUAUGUAAGGCAGCGGGCGUUUUCUGCUUGUCACAAGGUUAAGUAGUUUAUCCUCUUUCGCUGGAGAGCUUACGCCAUGUCUGCAAAGCAGUGGGCAUCUUCUGCUUAUCACAUGAUUGGUCAGUUUGUUUAUGCAUUUAGCCCAAGCUUGUGAAUAAUUCCUUCAAUCUACAUUGAAAAUAUAGACUUUUAUUAACUUUGCUCAUAAGCAGUAAUGGCAUAACAACUGAUAAUUCUUGGCAUGCGAGGUCUUGUUCGUCGAGUUGCUUGAGUCUUUAAACUUUUUUCAUCUUGAACAGGGUCCAAGGAAUGGUGAGAGGUCACACAUAGUACUUUCUUAAGUUGUAGGCAUUCCAUUGCCUAUCGAUUUCUUUGUCGCUUAUAAUGGUGAGGGUGUAGAUGCCCCUUCCGCUUACUCGGCUGAUUUUGUAUGUACCUUCCCAGAUAGAAGCCAACUUUUUGGAGCCUUCCCGUCGGGCAAUGAUGAAGGCUUUUCUGAGAACUAAGCCUCCUGGUUGGAACUACCAGAUUUUUGCCCUCUUGUUGUAGCUAGAGAGGAGCUGCUACUGAUAGGCUAUAAUACGGGUGAUAGCAUUCUCGUUCUUCCUCUGCCAAGUCUAAGUUGGUGGCCAUCUCAUUCUGGUUCUACUCGAAAUUCCGUAGUACUAUGCUGAUGCUUGGCACCAUGACGUUGGGAAGAACGUGAAGGGAAAUCUUUGAGAUUCAUGUAUGGGAUUUCUAAAUGACUAUCAUGCAUAUACAAAUCAAAUUUAAUAUACGAAAGCAGCGGAAGCAUUUAUAACAAAUUAUCAAAGCUAUAGUCAUGCAAAUCCCCUUCAAGGUUCAUAGGUUUAUAUAUAAUGCAUCAAAAACAUUUUAGAGAACCAAGAACAAAGUGAAGGUUUAGUCUUAUACCUCUUGAUCUAGAUUUAAGACCAAGGAUGGACCACCUCCAAGCCCUUUGCUCCUUGAAAUCCUUAAGCCUAGCCUCCCUCCUUACCUCCUCCACUUUGAAAGAAUGAGUGCUCCUAGGUUCUCUUCAAGUUUCCAAAGUUGAAAACCUCUAAAGAUCCUCACCCACUAGUGUAGUGAGAAGGAUGAAGGAAUAACCAAAGGGUGAAAUAUGUGUUAGUAAAAUCACCCCAAGGUGGCCGGCCUUUGAUGUGUUUUAGAGAGAUAUUUCUUUUGCCUCUUUGUUGUUUUAAACACACAAAAACCCUAAUAAACAAUAUCUCUAUAAAGUUCCUUAUAUAGACAAAAGAAACCUAGUCAACAACUUGACUAAAUAUCUCACCCUUUCCACCUAAAGUGGCUGGCCUUCUUUGUGUUGUUUGGGCUUUAGGCUUUCAUUUAUUUCAAGUCGUCCAAUGCUUGAAUAAAAGCCCAAUGGGUUUAGGCCCAAUGGGCCCAAUUAAACCCAAACGUUUCUUUAAGCCCAAAACGAUCUUUAUCGCUUUUAUGAUUUCUUUAGACUUUCUAAAUUAAUCACA
rnacentral:lncRNA from 1 species